rnacentral:rRNA from 1 species
GAUGAACGCUAGCGGCAGGCCUAAUACAUGCAAGUCGAACGGUAGAUCGGGUAGCAAUACUUGAUUGAGAGUGACGUAAGGGUGCGUAACACGUAUGCAAUCUACCCUCUAACAGGAGUAUAGCUCGGGGAAGCUCGGAUUAACACUCCAUAACAUUACGAUGUGGCACCACAUUGUGAUUAAAACUCCGGUGGUUGAGGAUGAGCAUGCGUCUGAUUAGUUAGUUGGAGGUGUAACGGACCCCCAAGACGAUGAUCAGUAGGGGAACUGAGAGGUUGAUCCCCCACACUGGCACUGAGAUACGGGCCAGACUCCUACGGGAGGCAGCAGUAGGGAGUAUUGGUCAAUGGGUGAGAGCCUGAACCAGCCAUGCCGCGUGCAGGAAGACGGCCUUCUGGGUUGUAAACUGCUUUUUAUCUGGGGAUAAAAAGCCCAUGCGUGGGACAUUGAAGUACCAGAUGAAUAAGCACCGGCUAACUACGUG